GCCUCUCCCAGCAGCAGGAGCAGGAGGAUCCCAAUCCCAACGGGAUCGGCUGCAGUGCAGGGAGGCACAGCUGGAGGUGCCAGAGCCCGGGGACACCUCCACUGGGGACAAAGGGAAGGACAAACAACAGGGUUUGAUCUUCACAGGGCAAAGCCUCAGCAGGAAAAAUCAUCCCUUGCUGCCAGAGUUUGGGACAACGCUCUGGAAGGUGCUGGGUACAGAGGGGAUGAUUUGUGUGGGCUGAAAAGUCAGCCUGGACUGGGGGAUAACGAAGGAGGGUCAGCAGUGAUUACCAAGUAAUCAAAUUACUCCGAUCAUGAAAGGAAAAGGGGUGGCAGAUGCUCUCCUGCCACCUGAGGCUGCUGCCCUGGCAGGCAGUGAGGAGCAGGUCAGACAGGAGAGGCUCUGCAGGAGGUGUGGAGUUCAAUUUCCAGGCACUGUGUCACUCACUAAAAGCUAAUUCACUUCCCACCCACUACAUCAUUUAAUUUCCAAGCAUAUCAUGGAAUACAGCAUCCUCCUGCCAGAGGCCAGCAGAAAUGUAAAGGUCAGGAUUUCAUUGUUUGAUUGCUGACAAGCAGAGCAAUUAAAACUGAAGUAAUUAAUAUCACCGUGUCCAAGGUCUGGCAGUGACUUUCCAGGCAAUUAAUCCCACGAGGUGAGCAGAGGGGCAUCCCAAAUGAUGGCAGCAGAGGUGAAGAUGAUCCCUGAUGUCCUUCAGGAGAGCCCAGGACAAGCCAGUGGGAUUUGGGAAUCCUCGCAGAGCAGGCUGGUAUCGUGUCCCAGCACCCCCAGCAGGAGGUUCUUUCAAUAUUUUGAUGAAGUUUGGGUGGAAAUCAAGCUGGCAUCCCUGGCUGAGCAGACACCCAGCUGCCAGGAUCCCUGCCUGCAUCUUCUGUGAUCCAAGGAGACACAAAUGGGGCUUGUCCUGUGCCAGCACAGGAAAUCUGGGAAUAAAUCCCAGAGCCUGAGGGAAACUCUCACAGGGACUUCAGACCCCCAGCAGGCCCUUGAGGAGACAUUCCCUGCACUGCCUUCCCAUUAAAAAUGCAUUUUGCAGGAAUUCAUGGAUUGUAAUAAUGGAUGGAUUAUGGAUUGAUGGAUUAUUAAUAACGGAUGGGAAAUUCCAGUGCUCCCAAAUCAGUAAUGGGAUUUUUUAGGACCAAGGGAUGCUUCUCAAGCACUUCCCUCUCUGCAGGGAAACUGCUGCAGGACUCCCAGGGACAUAAUGAGAAAUAGUUGGGAAUUUUGGGACAAAUGUGGUGUUUUAAAUAAUUAUGGAGAAGAAAUCCUUCAGUUUCUCCAUUCUGUCCUCACAAACACAAAGAGUUUCCUGCUCUGCAGCCACACAAACCCCACCAGUGAGGUUCUUUACAUGAAUUGUCUUGUGGGAGAUUCCUGCUAUUUUUUGGGUCACAUUAUCCUAAACAAGAAGUUCGUUUGCAUAUAAUUAAUCAAAACUGUUUCAUAGAAUUAAUAAAAUAUUAUUUGCAUUUUUACUCAGUUAAAAGCAGAUGUUGCACCCCCAGAAUUCCACAAAUUGAAGACUUCAUACCAACAGGUUUGAACACUAGAAAACUUAAAUAUCUCGUACCCAAAUUCCCUGAAGUAAAAUAGGAAGUAAAAUGGGAAAUGGAAAUGCAAUGUACAGAAUUUUGCAAUAUUUGUUUGUUCUCUUUUAUACAUUUGUUUUUAUACCAAAUGUUCUCUAAGCCUGGCAGAUCAGGAAAUAGGGGAGGUAAAAAAUGGAAUUUUGUUACACCUGAAAAAAAAAUUUUAGGUGGGUUUAGAUAUUUCUGAAAGGCAAUAAUUAUAAUUGGGAUUUGUUUUCUUUUUGGAGGUCACAAUAGUAAAGCGGGAGAAAGUUUUAAGUCUGGACAGAGCUUGGAGAAAGAUGGCAUAGUGGAAUUGGGAUGAGCUUUCAGCUCCAUCCCGGGCCAUUCCUGGUUGGAAAUAGGCCUGGGAAUUUCCUGCUGGCUCGCUCCCAGCCCCGUUUUUGGGGGGUUUGUGGCAGGGAUCGGUGCCAGCGGCAGCAGGAGCGGGUCCCGGUGCCACUAGAUGGCAUCGCCAGCCCACGAUUCACCAUCCCUGCUCUGCCCUGGAAUGACGCCGGGAUAACUCCAGGUUAUCUCUUCAGGUGAGUCGCGUUCUGAGUGGGAGCAUCCCCCGGGACUGGGGGAUCCCAGAAUCCCUGGGUUGGAAGAGACCUUCAAGAUCAUCGAGCCCAGCCCAGCCCCAACACCUCAACUCAACCCUGGCCCCCAGUGCCACAUCCAGGCUUUGUUAAACACACCCAGGGAUGGGGACUGCACCACCUCCCCGGGCAGCCAUUCCAGAGCUUUAUCACCCUUUCUGUGGAAAACUUUUUCCUGAUAUCCAGCCUGCAUUUCCCUUGAGGCUGUGUGCUCUGGCUGUGUCAGUGCUGCUGCAGACAGAGCCCAGCCCCAGCUGAGCACAGGCACCUUUCAGGAGCUGUGCAGAGUGAGAAGGGCACCCCUGAGUCUCCUUUUCUCCAGGGGAGCACCCCCAGCUCCCUCAGGGCUCCUCUCAGGGUUUGUGUUCCCAGCCCCUCUCCAGCCUCGCUGUCCCCUCUGGAUGUGCUCAGUGUCCCAAGGUCCUUCCCAAGCUGAGGGGGGAGCUGGGCACAGCACUCCAGGUGUGACCCCAGCAGGGCAGGGACAGGGCAGAGUGACCUCCCUGCUCCUGCUGCCACACCAUUCCUGACCCAGGCCAGGAGCCACUGGCCUUUUGGCCACCAGGGCACUCUGCUGGCUCGUGUCCAGCUGCUGUCCCUCAGGUCCCUUUCUGCCUGGGCACUGUCCAGCCACACCAUCCCCAGCCCUGAGAAUUGCAGGGGUUAUUGUGGCCACAAUGCAGGACUGGGCACUUGGACUCAUUAAACUCCAUCUCUGCCCAUCCAUCCAACCCUUCCAGGUCUCCCUGCAGAGCCCUCCCACCCUCCUACACGUUCCCAGCUUAGUGGAUGGAGCAGGAGUGGAUGGAGAAGCCACUGGAAAAGCUCCUAUGGAGCAACCACAGGGUUCAAAACAUCCGUGGGGCCCAUGAGAGCCACCUGAUGGUGACAUUGCUCACGUGGUGGAGCCAGGUGAAAUGCAAAAAUGAGGAGAAAAAAGUUGUGGAAAGCUCCUCAAGGGGUUAAAUUGUGUUUGGGUGUUUCCCAGGGAUUGUUGCUUCCUGGGAAAACGGUUUCUGUAAAGCAAAAGCAAGUCAGCAUUAACAAACGUGAAUUUUUGUGUCCUCGGGUGUCAGCUCAGCUGAGAAGGGGACAAUUUAAUGAGCUCUCUGUAGGCUUGUAAAUGGGAUGUUUAGAAAACACACAAAUUAAAUUCUCUUGUUUGCAUGGGCGAUGUCUCCAAGUUCCAGAAAAGUUCAGCCAAACCUACGUCAAGUUUGCCAUGAGGCAACAGCUAAAAUAAAUAAUAUCACAGACAAGCAAUGCCAUGGAAAAUAAACCAGCAGCUCCCAGAGCAGCCCUGCCUGUGAUACCCGGGGGUCAAUUUGACUGCUGGAGGUCUCCAGGUAAUCACUGAGAGCAGGGAAAUUAAAUAAUAUUUGGGAUCAAAUAAUUUCCUGAACUUGUUUCACUGAAAUGGAUGGAACAUCUCCCCUCACACUUUUGAGAUUUAAGGCAGAUCUUCUAAAAUUAUGCCUGAAGUAACUGAUACUCAGAUAAACCUCGUGAUAAAAAUUGGUUAUUUCUAAUUUUGCAAUGUGCAAAAGAUGGUUACCCAUCUUUAUUCCUUUUCCUGACUUCCUGGUCAUUUCCUCAAGGAUGAGGCUCUUGUGGCUGUGAGAUUUUGCUCCCUUUGUUGGAAGGACACAGAAGGUGGCAUCAGCCAGGUCUGGUUUUCCCAAGUUGAAAGAAUUAUGAAAUCCCAGAGUGGUUUGGGUUGGUGAGAACCUUAAAGCUCAUCCAGUUCUGUCCCCUGCCAUGGCAGGGACACCUUCCCCUGUCCCAGGUGCUCCAGCCCCAGUGUCCAGCCUGGCCUUGGGCACUGCCAGGGAUCCAGGGGCAGCCACAGCUGCUCUGGGCACCCUGUGCCAGGACCUCCCCACCCUUUGAGUAAACAUUUUUUCCCUAAUAUCCCAUCUAAGCCCUCUCUGUCAUUUUAAAACCAUUCCCCCUUUUCCUGCUGCUCCAUCCCUUGCGAAUACGUUCCCCUCUGGUUUUCUUGUAGCUCCUUCGGGCUCUGCCACACUGAGAUCACUCCAAACUUCUCCUCUCCGGGUGACCAAUCCCACCUCUCCCAGCAGCGCUGCUCCACCCUCUGCAUUCUGUGUUCAUCCCCCCACUCUUCCCAUUCCCAAACCCCCCCGGUUCGUCCGGGACCCUCUCCCGCUCACCCUGGGGUGCGGAGGGAGCGUUCCCGGGGGUCCCCGCUAUUUCACCGAGCGCUGCCCGGACCCUGCCCCGCUUGGUGCCGCGGGAUGCUGGGCUCCCUCCGCGGGAUGCUGGGCUCUCCCCGGCCCCGCAGCCAGCCCAUCCCCGCCGCUCCGUGCCCGCCCUCCGGGGCCGUGCCGGGAGCCGGGAGCGGGGCUGGCCAGCGUACUGGGCUGAUCGCCACGGCCACGCACAACGCUCACACUCGGCCGGAUCUGCCGGGGCCGAGCAGAGCUCCAUCCGCCGCAGCCCGUCCGUCCCUCAGCGAGCGCUUCGCCGGGCUGCCGCGGGACCAGCGCGGCCGGGUGAGGCGCGGAGCGAUGCGGGAAGGAUGCUCGGAGCGAUGCGCGGGGCGGUGCGGUGUGAUGCUCAUCGAUACGUGGAGCGAUGCGCGGGUUGAUGCUUAGCGAUGAGGAGCAAUGUGCGGAAGGAUGUGCGGAGCGAUGCACAGGUUGAUGCUUAGCGAUGCGCGGAGCGGUGCAGAGAGGUGCAGAGCCGCCACCGCCGCGCUGGGUCUGUCCGCAGGCAGAGGCAGCUCCCGGACGCUGGAUCCCAAGUGCGAGAAGGUGCUCGAGAACGGGAAUUUCAGGAAGAGAAGGAAGCGGCGAGCGGGGGCGGCCGGGGACAGCGGCGGGGGUGAAACCCGGCACUACAGAGGGAUGGUUUUGUACCGCAGAAAUCAGGUGGGAUCCUGUCUGAGGGUCUGGAGCGGGAUAUUCAUGGGAAGGAUGGAGAAACUCCUGCCUGGCAGAGCUGGAGGACCCUUGUGAAAACACUGAACCUCCGAGCUGGGCAAGAAACAAUUUCACUGAACCCUCUUUUCCUUCUGCUCCAGGAUACAAAGCUCCAGAUCUGACUGAAAGGGCUGAAUUCCUGAUUUUCCCCUUGGGAUUGUUCUCCCCCGGGACAAAAUUCCCCUGCAGGACCCUGGAAAUGCAGGAAAGCAGAAGCCCAGGAGGCUGCAGGUGCUUCAGACUGCCCCAGCUGUGGUUCUGCUGGAGCAGGGAUCCUGCACAAGGCUGCAGUUUUCCUCUGGAGCUCCAGGGUUGCUGGAGAUGGGCCUGGUGUUCCUGUGGGAAUGCAGGGCAGGAGAAAGCUGCUCCUCUGGGAAUGCAGGGGGCAAAGGCUGCUGUGCUGUUCCAGGCUCAGAUUGUAUCCAGGUAGGAAUGCUUGGCUCCUCCCCUGGGAGGAGCAUCUCCCAGUGGGAUGCUGGAAUUUGAUCAGCCAUGCAGGGACACUCACUGGCCAUGGACAGAAGAUAAUUAAUAAUUAAUGGCCCAUGAACAGAAGAGAUCUCCUGGAGGGAGGACUGGCUGUGGGAGAGAAAAAGAAAAAACUGCCCCAUGAACAGCAGAGAACUGCCCCAGCUCUGACAGAUGGGAAAUAGAACACACAGCCCCAUUUCCAGCCUGUUCCCAAAAAGAUCCAGAAAUCCAUGGUUCAUUUCAGCCAGGAGAAUUGGAAUGACAUCAGUGAGUUAUGGAGAAGCUUGGGAAAUGACAGAGCUCAGGAAGCUCCACUCUGAGCUGUGCUUUCCACAGGGAAAGGGCAGCAUGGAAACAACAACCUGGGUUCAUUAUUCCAGGAAUGGAAAUGGGGAUCUGGGCUGUUCCUUUUCCAGCGGGAUAAAUAUCCAGGAUUUCUGUGCUCUGGAACAAAGGGUUGGCCUAAAUAAAGAUGAGAAGGGGCUGUCAAAGCCUCGUAAAUCAGGAUUUUGGGAACAGGCAGCAGUGCAGGGCGUGAAAGGAGAGUUUGCACUUUGGAACAUUUGGUUUUGGGGCUGUGCUUUGAGCCCAGCUCAGGGCUGCAGGUUCCCAAAAAACAACCCCAUCCCUCCUCAUCCCUGGCAGCCUUCCCUCCCAAAAAGGGCUGGACAGAGCCUGGCAGUGCAGGGUGACCUCUGCUCACAGGGAUUUUGGUGGUGUGCAGGCAGUGCCUGUGGGGUGUCCUUUGGGAAUGGAAAAUUCCCAAAAAACCCCAGGGAAUGCUCCUGGCUGGGCAGGGAAAGGCAGGCAGGGGCUGGAGAGGUUUGGCUUCUUCAGCACUGAGCAUGAAUUAUUUUCCUGGCUUUAAUUGCUGUUAUUGUAGUCUCAGUUCUAUUUUAAUCCAGUUGCAAAAGCAAUAAAUCUCUAUUUUCAGCGUGAUUAUCACUCAGGAGGAGCCCAUCACAAAUGCAAACAGGAUGUGAUAAAUCAGACUUACUUCUCCGUUUUUUCUUUUCAAUCUCCCCUCUGCUCCAGCACUUGCCUGUGAUAAAUCCUUGUUAAGCACUAGGAUUUCCCUGGGCUUUACUGUGGGAUAACACAGCUUCCCAAGAUUUAUUUUUUUCUGGAAAACAGAACAGGGAAUAUUAAAUUUUUUGUUGUGGGAGGAAAAUCAAGACAAAACCAAGUUUCCAGGUUCUUGGAAGUCAUCAGGGCUGAAGGAAAAGGACGUUGUAAGUAGUUGUCAUUACAUAAAACUAUCAGGAAGGAAAAUAUCAGGAAAUAAAAUGCCCUUUUCUAUGGGUUGUCUGGAAUUCCAUGCUGCAGGAGAUGGAAACUCAAGUCCUGGAGGAAAAUCCGUGGUAAAAUCUGUGGUGGGAGCAGGUUGGAUGUGAAUGAUUCACCUUGUAAGCUGCAGAACCCAGCUCAGUGUGGUGUCUGGGCUUUUUGGGAUUGUGGCAUUCCCUGGGAGGCCCAAAUCCUGCUCCUGCAGGACUCCAGCUCCU